UGUGCUUCCAGUCACUCAUUGCCGGAUCAUCGGCUCACAUCCCUCCAUGGCUUCUGCUGUGUUCCUGGAUUGUGGGUUUCCCCACCAAGCCUUCUACUGCUUGUCAGCUUCAGCCUCUUGGACUCAACCGAUUUUGCUGUCCUGGAUUUUUCUCUUGUGGACUCUGUUCAACUCCUGUCUGUUUUUGGAUGCUCCCUGGUCUUCAGUCUGCCAGUUUUGUUUCCCCACUAGCUUCUGGGUUCUCCUAGCCUGCCUAGCCUUUAGCUCUGUUUUCCCCUGGUUUUUGUAAGUACAUUGCUGUGUUGUUUGGUUGAGGUUAUUCCUGUUUGGUUUUGUGGUUUUUGUAGGUUUGGUAGUGUAGUUUGUUUUAGUGUUAGUUGUGGUUUAGUUUGUCUGCUGGAGUCCGUUUCACGAAGUGGGUUCAACAAACUGUUGUUGGUUAAAUCAAGUCGGAGUAGUUUCCCCCGGAAUUAAGCACGUGCGCCACAGGUCUGAAAAGCCAGUAUCAAUGGAGCGCCGAUUCGACGAGUCACCGUGGCAACGGGUAAACAGAGGACGACACCGUUUGAAUUGGAAAUCUUAAUGCGCUUAUAUAGCGAGUUUGAACACGUUUUUAGAAAGAAGUGCAACACCGCUGCAAACGAGAGGGAAAUGGUGUGGGAGAGCAUUGCUGCCCGAGUCAAUGUGUGCAAGAGGGAGAUGGCCUGGGAGAGCAUUGCUGCCCGAGUCAAUGUGUGCAAUCCUGUGAGGGAGAAGUGCAUGUGGCAAACAGGUAAGAAGUAUUUAUCACUGGAUAGAGAAAUUCUGGCCAUUGCAUUACCUCCACUGUGUGUUUGUUGAGUCUUCUCCUCUACAGGCUGGGGACCUGGAACCUUUGACUGAAUUUUAAGUAACUAUUCACCGGUUUCCGCGCCAUCUUUCCAUCUUUCCAGCUUAGCGGCCUAUCUACCUAGGGCACAGAAUGCUAGCCAUCUAGAUAGCUUUGCAUGUAGCUAUGAUGUAUGUAGGCAGCCAUCUUGCACUGAGCCCAUGCUCAUCCACUGAACAAAACAACCACAGCACAUGUCAACACCACUAUUCAAGAAACUCCACAGAUGCAGUAACAAAGGUUCUAAACUACUAUUGCUUCAUGUUAAAAUAAUUAUUUUUAGUACAUUGUUUCACAUGUCAUAUUUACAAGCAUAUAACUAAAUCUGAACUGAAGACUGAAACACACUAACAAGAAAUGUCUAUCACAAAGCCCUAUUUAUUUACAAGCACCUACAAGGUAAGUUACAUUUAUAUUCAUGUACUUAUUCAAAUUUCUAAGUAAAAGGGUAAUGCAGCUCAUGUUCUUAAAACGAUUACCAUACAACAAUACUGACACAUGGAUAUCAUAUGUCUUACACUAAAUAUAUAAAUUCAUCUAUCUACAAUAAAUAUAAUAUUCUACUAAUGACUUACAAAUAAAAUGUUAAGCUUUCAUUGCUAUUUGAAAUAUGACAGAUACACUAAAUACUACAGAAACUGUACAUACCAUUACAUUACCAAAACAACCUGUCACUAACAACACACAAACAUGUCAUUUCAGAUUACAUAUUUAUUGAUGCUCUUUAACCCAGUCCUCAUGGAUUGACCUAGAACAAAAAUAAAACCUAUUGUCAGGCCUGUCUCUGCAGGCCCUGGCUAGUGCCCCUCCUCCCCGUGUGUGUGUGUGUGUGUGUGUGUGUGUGUGUGUGU
ensembl:lncRNA